GAUGAACGCUGGCGGCGUGCUUAACACAUGCAAGUCGAACGAAGCACUUAUCUUUGAUUCUUCGGAUGAAGAGGUUUGUGACUGAGUGGCGGACGGGUGAGUAACGCGUGGGUAACCUGCCUCAUACAGGGGGAUAACAGUUAGAAAUGACUGCUAAUACGCAUAAGACCACAGAGCCGCAUGGCUCAGUGGGAAAAACUCCGGUGGUGUGAGAUGGACCCGCGUCUGAUUAGGUAGUUGGUGGGGUAACGGCCUACCAAGCCGACGAUCAGUAGCCGACCUGAGAGGGUGACCGGCCACAUUGGGACUGAGACACGGCCCAAACUCCUACGGGAGGCAGCAGUGGGGAAUAUUGCACAAUGGGGGAAACCCUGAUGCAGCGACGCCGCGUGAGCGAAGAAGUAUUUCGGUAUGUAAAGCUCUAUCAGCAGGGAAGAAAAUGACGGUACCUGACUAAGAAGCACCGGCUAAAUACGUGCCAGCAGCCGCGGUAA
rnacentral:rRNA from 1 species